UACGUAGGGGGCUAGCGUUGUCCAGAAUCAUUGGGCGUAAAGCGCGUGUAGGCGGCUCGGUAAGUCUGCUGUGAAAGUCCAGGGCUCAACCCUGGGAUGCCGGUGGAUACUGUCGAGCUCGAGUCCGGAAGAGGCGAGUGGAAUUCCUGGUGUAGCGGUGAAAUGCGCAGAUAUCAGGAGGAACACCAAUGGCGAAGGCAGCUCGCUGGGACGUGACUGACGCUGAGACGCGAAAGCGUGGGGAGCAAACAGG
rnacentral:rRNA from 1 species